rnacentral:rRNA from 1 species
GAUGAACGCUGGCGGCGUGCCUAAUACAUGCAAGUCGAGCGAACGGACGAGAAGCUUGCUUCUCUGAUGUUAGCGGCGGACGGGUGAGUAAAACGUGGAUAACCUACCUAUAAGACUGGGAUAACUUCGGGAAACCGGAGCUAAUACCGGAUAAUAUUUUGAACCGCAUGGUUCAAAAGUGAAAGACGGUCUUGCUGUCACUUAUAGAUGGAUCCGCGCUGCAUUAGCUAGUUGGUAAGGUAACGGCUUACCAAGGCAACGAUGCAUAGCCGACCUGAGAGGGUGAUCGGCCACACUGGAACUGAGACACGGUCCAGACUCCUACGGGAGGCAGCAGUAGGGAAUCUUCCGCAAUGGGCGAAAGCCUGAAGGAGCAACGCCGCGUGAGUGAUGAAGGUCUGCGGAUCGUAAAACUCUGUUAUUAGGGAAGAACAUAUGUGUAAGUAACUGUGCACAUCGUGACGGUACCUAAUCAGAAAGCCACGGCUAACUACGUG